rnacentral:rRNA from 1 species
GACGAACGCUGGCGGCGUGCUUAACACAUGCAAGUCGAACGGAAAGGCCCUGCUUUUGUGGGGUGCUCGAGUGGCGAACGGGUGAGUAACACGUGAGUAACCUGCCCUUGACUUUGGGAUAACUUCAGGAAACUGGGGCUAAUACCGGAUAGGAGCUCCUGCUGCAUGGUGGGGGUUGGAAAGUUUCGGCGGUUGGGGAUGGACUCGCGGCUUAUCAGCUUGUUGGUGGGGUAGUGGCUUACCAAGGCUUUGACGGGUAGCCGGCCUGAGAGGGUGACCGGCCACCAUGGGACUGCGAUACGGCCCAGACUCCUACGGGAGGCAGCAGUGGGGAAUAUUGCACAAUGGGAGGAAGCCUGAUGCAGCAACGCCGCGUGCGGGAUGACGGCCUUCGGGUUGUAAACCGCUUCCGCCUGUGACGAAGCGGGAGUGACGGUAAUGGGUAAAGAAGCACCGGCUAACUACGUG